rnacentral:rRNA from 1 species
UACAGAGACUGCAAGCGUUGUUCGGAUUCAUUGGGCGUAAAGGGUGCGCAGGCGGCUCGUUAAGUCGGAUGUGAAAUCUCACAGCCUAACUGUGAUAGGUCAUUCGAAACUGGCGGGCUUGAGGGCUGGAGAGGAGACUGGAAUAGUCGGUGUAGCGGUGAAAUGCGUAGAGAUCGUAAGGAAGACCAGUGGCGAAGGCGGGUCUCUGGACAGUUCCUGACACUGAGGCACGAAGGCUAGGGGAGCAAACGGG